GAAAUAUUUGAGCCUGAUGUAAUUAAUCAUCCCCAACCACUCAAUGCCCAUUUGGAGAGAACUGCAACUAUUCAAGAUUUCUUUUCAGAUUGAAGAUGGUCAGUUACAGAUUCUCAGAAAUGGAAUACCACUCCCCUUCCUCUCGCCUCAUCCCCAUAUUUACCACAUUUUCCCUAAAUAAAUGUGUACUUUACUCAAAUAUA